GGCCCAGUCGCGUCGGGCCUCCCGAGGGGGCUGCGAGUGUCAGUCGGCUCUCCGCACGUGUCCGCGGCCUCGCGGAGCAGGCCACCCCUGGCUGGUUUCUGCUUCCACCUGCUGAUCUCACAGAGGUGAGGUGAUAACAGUGAUGAAACAAAAUCUUCAAACCACAGCACAGCCUAGAAGUUUGGAAUUUUAUUAUUCGUUCCAGAAAGGUUACAAAACUUGCCCUAGAUAGCUCAAAACUGGUGAAGUUGGGAUUCUCAAGUCUCACCCCUGCAUCAUAUGCCAUUCUGCCUCUCCAAGGAUGUCUACACAUCAGACUGCAAGCUAUUUGGCAUAUGAAGGUCUUGACCUGAGAAAACCAUCUUGGAUAACUGCAGCAAGGAAAAGGAAAAAUGCAACACCUAGGAGAUUUCAGUAAACAGUAGAAUCAUGCCAACCUAAUCUGUGUUAAAAUGCUUGGAAUGUGGGAGCCGCUGAUGAUGCCUCUUGUCUGUGUGUCUGACUGAAUCCUUUCUUUUCUCAGAGCAGCAAAGCAAAGCCUGGGAACCAGGCCAAAUGCCUGCCACUUACCUUAAAUUGAUCAGCCACUUUGAGAUUAAAACCCCUGAAAGCUGCCACACCGUGAAAACAAGGCCUCCUUCACAUUAAAGGCAAAUUGCGACUUUGG
rnacentral:lncRNA from 10 species